UAGGUGGUUUUGAUGCCUACCCAUUUAGCAAUUGUGAUAGAGUAUGCUGCUGGUGGUGAGCUCUUUGAUCGAAUUUGCAGUGCUGGUAGAUUCAAUGAAGAUGAGGCUAGAUAGUUUUUUUCAACAGUUGAUCUCUAGUGUUAAUUACUGUCACUCCAUGGUGUUAAGAUGAAGGCAGCUGAGGAAGCCUUGGAAGCAAAACAAAAAGUAACAAAUAGCUUGUCUGCUACCUGUUCUUUUUUUUAUUAUCAUGUUUUAUAAUUUUGUGACAAAUUGUUCUUGGUACUCUGAAGAUAUUUAUGCAAAAUUACCCUAUGAUUCUAUUGUAUUUAUACUGCAUGGCUGCACCAUGUAUUUCUUAA